UGGGGAAGUCUUGCGCAAUGGGCGAAAGCCUGACGCAGCAACGCCGCGUGAGGGAUGAAGGCCCUAGGGUUGUAAACCUCUUUCAGCAGGGACGAAGCGAAAGUGACGGUACCUGCAGAAGAAGCCCCGGCUAACUACGUGCCAGCAGCCGCGGUAAUACGUAGGGGGCGGAGCGUUGUUCCGGCAGUUUUAUUGGGGCGUAAAAGAGCGCGUAGGUGGUUUGUAAAGUCGGAUGUGAAAGUCCAGGGCUCAACCCUGGGAUGCCAUUCGAUACUUGCAGGCUAGAGCACGGUAGGGGAGUCUGGAAUUGCCUGGUGUAGCGGUGAAAUGCGCAGAUAUCAGGAGGAACACCGGUGGCGAAGGCGGGAUCCUUGGGCCGUUGCUGACACUGAGGCGCGAAAGCUGGGGA
rnacentral:rRNA from 1 species